UGGACCUGUUUUCACGUCGCUCACGUCCUCCCUAGCCGAGAAGGCGCUUUCGGAAGCGAGCGGUCGCCGGCAUCGUGGCUAAGCCUGGCUUCCUCUCAGUCCUACCUGGACCGAAGCCGAAGCAGGCUGAAGCGAGCGUGUGAGCCCCGGAUUCCAGACCCGCGUCUGAUGCUUCAGGACCUGUGAUGAUGUGCAGUGUGUGUUAGGUGUCACCCAGCCUCACACGCCGUCAUAGGUUAUGUGCUUAACAAAAAACACCAGAGAGAAAAUCCCGAUGAACCCAAAUUUAGACACCACUCAUUUCAAAAAAAAAAAAAAAAAAAAAGAGGGUUCCACGUGGUCUUACAUACUGAGUUCCUAUCGCGUGUCACAAUACACAGGAAACCUGUCCCCUUGCUCAAGGAGCUGUAUUGUGACUCAGCAGGGGAGUGCAUGUACAAAUGCCUGGCCUCGGCCCGAGCUUGCCCAAGAGCCUGGUGAACAGACCUAGGCUUCAAAAGGAUUGGCAACUUCUGCCUUAUUUGAAGGCAGCUGCUGUGGAAAAACCAUCACUGAUGUCACCAUGCCGAGAGCAGUCAUGUGAGGAGACUGGAAGACACCAAGGAUCUUACCAUGUGAAUGAAGCUUUUGGGAGCAUCAAGGGAACUGUAACCACUAACUGAGAUGCUAAAUGCAUGAUCUUCAUCCAGGCUGUGGAGCAGCAGCAGAACUACAGGGUAGAACCAUCGUUGAGUGCCAGUUCACAUAAUGUGAGGCCCCUAAUUUUUAAAGAUAAUUUGCUAUCCAACAAUAUGUAUCCAAAGUAUAGCAGUGCUAAAGUGGGAGAUGCAUACAUACAUACAUACAUACAUACAUACAUACAUACAAACAAACAUUCAUUUGACUUAGUAAACCUGCCUUUAGGAAUCCCUUAGAAAUAAAAGUGUAUUAACACC
rnacentral:lncRNA from 1 species